AUGCCGACUGAGAAGAAACUCACCAAGGAAGACACUUGGAAACCAGCCGAGCUGACCAAACACAUGAGGGACGCUGGUCAUGGAGACAGGAGGAGGGAGGAGAGAGAGAGGAGGGCGAGAGACAACACCAAAGAGGAGGAGAGAGAGAGCAGGAGGGCGAGAGACAAUAAGGAUGAGGAGAGAGAGAGAAGGCGGUCGAGAGACCCCAGGGAAGAGAGACACGUAGAGAGGAAGAGAGAGGGAGCGGAGGAGAGAGAGAAGGAGAGGAGGAGGAGGGAGGGAGGAGCAGAGAGAGAUAAGGAGAGGAGGAGAGAAGGAGGAGAGGAGAGAGAGAAGGAAAGGAGGAGAGAGGGAGGUGCAGAGAGAGAGAAGGAGAGAAGAGAAGGAGGAGAGGAGAGAGAGAAGGAGAGGAGGACAGAAGGAGAGGAGAGAGAGAAGGAGAGGAAGAUAGAGAGGGAUGCAGAUACGAGAGGACCUGAUAGAGGCCCCCAGAGACACCGAGAAGGAGAGAGAGAGAGGCACAAAGACCGGGCGAGGGAGAGAGACAUAGGAGACGAGAAGGAUAAAAGGAGAGAGGAGAGAGAGGGGCAUAGGAGGAGAGAGGGAGGGAGAGAGAGGGAAGGAGAGGAGAGAGAGAAACACAAAGAGAGGGAGCAUCGGGAAGAGGGCGAUCGACGGCACGAUGAACGGCCCGACAAAGCACGACGAGUAAGACGCUCCGAGGAGAAGGAGGAAGGUAGGUUCACCUCCUUCUGCUCACGGUGCUCCUGGUGGUUCUCCUCACCGGAGCAGGAACCCUCACGAUUCUCUGAUUUCAGAGAAAAACAAAGAACCCAGAAGAGACGGAGACAGGAGGAGGAAGCAGGAGGACGGAGAGAGGGGGAAGGAGGACGAGAGAGAGAGGAGAAGAGAGAAGGAGGCGAGGAGACGAGAGAAGGAGGAUGGAGCAGGGAGGGAUGA
rnacentral:lncRNA from 1 species